GACGAACCGAGCGAACGUUGUUCGGAAUCACUGGGCUUAAAGGGCGCGUAGGCGGGCUGCCAAGUCUGUGGUGAAAUCCUCCAGCUUAACUGGAGAACGGCCGUGGAUACUGGCGGUCUCGAGGAAGGUAGGGGCAAGUGGAACUGUGCGUGGAGCGGUGAAAUGCGUUAAUAUGCACAGGAACUCCGGUGGCGAAGGCGACUUGCUGGACCUUUUCUGACGCUGAGGCGCGAAAGCUAGGGGAGCGAACGGGG
rnacentral:rRNA from 1 species